CAUUAUAGAGUUACCAAACUCCAAACCCAUGUGAACUUACCAGUUUGUUGCCUCGGUAGGCCUCCGCGUCUCGCCUUCGGGCGGGUGCGGGUACUAUAGGUCUGCCGGCGGUCCACUAAACUCUUGAAUUACAUUGUAAAUCUGAGCGUUUAAAAACAAAUAAGUUAAAACUUUCAACAACGGAUCUCUUGGUUCUGGCAUCGAUGAAGAACGCAGCGAAAUGCGAUAAGUAAUGUGAAUUGCAGAAUUCAGUGAAUCAUCGAAUCUUUGAACGCACAUUGCGCCUAUUAGUAUUCUAGUAGGCAUGCCUAUUCGAGCGUCAUUUCAACCCUUAAGCUUAGCUUAGUGUUGGGAGAUUACCUAACGGUACCUCCCCAAAACCAUUGGCAGAGUCAAUACACCUCUGAGCGUAGUAAUUUCACCUCGCUUCUGUGGUCUGUAUUGAUUAUCGCCAUAAACCUAUUAUUUUCAAUGGUUGACCUCGGAUUAGGUAGGAAUACCCGCUGAACUUAAGCAUAUCAAUAAGCGGAGGAAAAGAAACCAACAGGGAUUGCCCUAGUAACGGCGAGUGAAGCGGCAACAGCUCAAAUUUGAAAUCUGGCCUAGCCCGAAUUGUAAUUUGUAGAGGAUGCUUUUAGUGCGGUGCUUUCCGAGUUCCCUGGAACGGGACGCCUUAGAGGGUGAGAGCCCCGUACGGUUAGUUACCAAUCUUCUGUAAAGCUCCUUCGACGAGUCGAGUAGUUUGGGAAUGCUGCUCAAAAUGGGAGGUAAAUUUCUUCUAAAGCUAAAUACCGGCCAGAGACCGAUAGCGCACAAGUAGAGUGAUCGAAAGAUGAAAAGCACUUUGAAAAGAGGGUUAAAUAGCACGUGAAAUUGUUGAAAGGGAAGCGCUUAUGACCAGACUUUUGCCUUGCGGAUCAUCCGGUGUUCUCACCGGUGCACUUCGCUUGGUUGAGGCCAGCAUCGAUUUUUGCGGGGGGAUAAAGUCUGCGGGAAUGUGGCUCUUCGGAGUGUUAUAGCCCGUGGUAAUACCCCCGUGGGGAUCGAGGU
rnacentral:rRNA from 1 species